rnacentral:lncRNA from 10 species
AGGCAUCCUACGCUGUGUGCACACAGCAUAUCACCGGGAGAGACGGCACGGAAAGAUGGCCCUGCCCUCAAGGAGCUGCAGUCUGCCCAGGAAGGCAGACAGAUAAACUGCUAUAGUUUUCCACUAUUGAGCUGAAUUUCGUAUCACCAUCAAAAGUUACCUACCUACAAGUCCCUAGUAGAGAAAAUUUAACUUCUGGCUUUAAAAAAGGGACAGAAAAGCAGGCAGAUCUGCUAGUAAGCAAACUACAGCUCCCCCGAGGAGACACACAGGCAGUGGGUAAGAGGAACAGACCCAUGGCUCCACUGAAGACACAGAGCAGCAGACGAAAAAGACAUGUCCUAAAUGUUAAAUGUGAACACACUGUGCAAAGAGCACAGCACGAGGCACUGAGUGAACAAGGAGCACAGCACGAGGCACUGAGUGAACAAGGAGCACAGCACGAGGCACUGUGCGAAGCAUGUUCCAGUUUCAACUCUAUCCCUACACAGAGUCCGCUCUGCUCUCUCUCCCUUCUCUGAAAAACAACAAUUCCUGUUUAUGACUAGAAUUAAUAAGCACUUCUGCCAUUAAAAGGUCUAUAGAUCUUCCACCAAAUUGUGGAUUCCUUUCCAGCAAGAGAAUGUGACAGAAUGAUACCAGGUGACUUCUAAGACUACAUCAUACAAAGCAACACAGCUUCUGCUGGGCUCUCCCUCUCUGGACACGUGUCUUUGAAGCCCUGAGCUGCCAGAUUAAACAGUCCGGCUUGCCUAAAGUCACCACGCUGGAGAGACCAUCAGGGAUGGAGAGGUGCUACAGAAACCCUAGCUAUUCUAGUCCCCAGCCAUUUGAGUCUUCCUAGCCCAGACUCAUAAGUGAAGAAACCUUCAAGAUGAUUCCAAUACCUCCUAUCACUUGACUGCAACCUCGUGAAAGCCUAAGCCAGACCUGCACGGUGGAGCCAUUCCUAAAUUCUGGUCCCACAGAAACUGUGAAAGAUAAUAAAUGAUCAUCAUUGCUUUACAUUGGGCUAAUUUUUAUUAUCAGGGGUAACGUGUUACAUAGCGAUAGGCAACUAAUACAAGAUUCAUUACUAAAACCACUAAAAACUUUAACCUGUUAGUCACUAUUAAUUUAAGCAAACAAAUAAGCAAUCUUCCAAUGAUGCUUCCCCAAUUUGCAUGCCUCUCUAUAACCUUACUCUGCCUUCAUUUUAAGGCCUAGCUCUUAUCACCAUAUGUGAUAUGAUUAGAUAACACGAUAUAGGCUACGUUACUGAAUAUAUGAGGAAAGGGCCUUUGUUUUGUUCACUAUUAUAUCCCCAGCACCUAGAACAGCACUUGACAACAUAUAGCAGGUGCUUGACAACCACUGGUUCAGUACAAGAAUGUAUCUGGAGAUGAUUGGGCUUAGUGUUCCUCCAAGGCUAUUUGACCUCUCAUCACCUGUUCUCCAGUUUGACUCAACGUCUCUUAAUAUAUAUUCACUGCACUGUUAAGUUUCUAACUCUCUAACUACUACUGACAAAACCAUUAGAUGUUCUUCGUUCAAACCCACUAGAGGAACUACACCAUCCCCUCCGUGAUGCCAGCUCAGCAUCCAGAGUAGAGCCAGUGAUUUCCUUUGUCAACACACCUGCAUGCCAAAAACCCUUCCCAGGAGGUCUCAAAUAUCAAAUAAAAGUUACUCCAUUUUUCAUUCAAAGACCAUGUGCCCAAUGGGAAAAUGACCUCAUGUUGUGGUUUAAACAGCAACUGCACCCACUAGCACAGCCCAUUGAGCUAUCCUAUAUAUACAU